ensembl:lncRNA
AGAGGGGAAAUGCGAGCAGUUGAAGUCAGACACAACUAGGCCAGAUUGUUGAACUUUGGGGACUGUGGUGAGGACUUUGACUGCUAAUGAGCCUCGGCAACUGGCCUCCUCUCUUUCUGACUCCCUCGCCUGACUGCCUGUCUGGCCCAGCUUCGGGCUUCCUGCUUAUACAUCCCAGGUCUGCUCCAGCCGGUAGCCUCCUCUCUACUAGUUGCCAGACACCUGUGCCCGGCCUCAACCCCUCUUCCAGAAACUCUUAGUCUAGGAGAAAUGGAUAUGAAACAGUCACUCAGUGGUGUCCAGCUCUUUGCGACCCCAUGGACUGCAGCCCGCCAGGCUCCUCCAUCCAUGG